UAGUCCACGCCGUAAACGAUGCUUACUCGCUGUUGGCGAUAUUACUGUCAGCGGCCAAGCGAAAGCGUUAAGUAAGCCACCUGGGGAGUACGCCCGCAAGGGUGAAACUCAAAGGAAUUGACGGGGGCCCGCACAAGCGGAGGAGCAUGUGGUUUAAUUCGAUGAUACGCGAGGGACCUUACCUGAACUUAAAUGGUGGACGACGGUUGCAGAAAUGUGACUUUCUUUUAGACGUCCAUCAAGGUGCUGCAUGGUUGUCGUCAGCUCGUGUCGUGAGAUGUUGGGUUAAGUCCCGCAACGAGCGCAACCCUUGUCUUUAGUUGCCAUCAUUUAGUUGGGCACUCUAGAGAAACUGCCGGUGACAAACCGGAGGAAGGUAAGGAUGACGUCAAGUCGGCAUGCCCCUUACGCUCUGGGCUACACACGUGCUACAAUGGUCGUGACAAAGAGUUGCUAGUCUGCGAAGGCAAGCCAAUCUCAUAAACGCGGCCUUAGUUCGGAUUGCAGG
rnacentral:rRNA from 1 species